rnacentral:rRNA from 1 species
UUCGAUUGAGUUUGAUCCUGGCUCAGGAUGAACGCUAGCGGCAGGCCUAAUACAUGCAAGUCGAACGGUGGUAGCAAUACCAUAGUGGCGCACGGGUGCGUAACACGUAACUAACCUACCUAUAACUGGGGGAUAGCCCGCCGAAAGGCGGAUUAAUACCGCAUAAGCUGUAAGCCUGGCAUCAGGCAUUCAGUAAAGAUUUAUUGGUUAUAGAUGGGGUUGCGGGUCAUUAGCUAGUUGGUAAGGUAACGGCUUACCAAGGCGACGAUGACUAGGGGAGCUGAGAGGCUGGUCCCCCACACGGGCACUGAGAUACGGGCCCGACUCCUACGGGAGGCAGCAGUAGGGAAUAUUGGGCAAUGGGCGAGAGCCUGACCCAGCCAUGCCGCGUGCAGGGAAGAAGGCUUUCUGAGUCGUAAACUGCUUUUGACAGGGAAGAAUAAGCAUCACGUGUGAUGCGAUGAC